CAGGGCUACACAGAGAAACCCUGUCUCUUUGAAAAACAACCAACAAACAAAAAAAGAGGCGGGGCUUGAAGGAACCAGCCCGCCCCUCUCAGCCACUGCAUCACUGGGCUCCCCACCCAAAACAUCCUGGAAGGAGUUGAGGCCUGGUUACCAGCCCUCUGGCUGUUAGGGAAGGGACACGAACCUCAGAACAGAGGAAGGUUUGUGUGACGCAUGCACUGGUCUCCUGAGAAAAACUCCACAUUAAGAGAAAUUGGGAAUUCCAGCUUCGGUGCCCUGGAAGCAGAAGCAUCAAGAGCCGCCAGGGUACUCAGGCUGCCUGGGCAUGCCAAGGACACCUUGCCCCAGGCUGCUGCUUUGAAUAUGCAUAGUGGGGUGUGCUGGGACUUCAAAAUUGUCUGAGGUAACCCAGAAUUUCUAAGAUACAGGGACCAAUCAAUUCCUGAAGCCUGGGCCUCCAGGAACUAGGAGGCCCCGCUUCCCUGUUAACCACCGUCUAGGCCACAAGAGCACCGUUGGUCCUAGCAUAGCCUCUGUUGCUAACUCCCUCUGUGGCCAUGCAGACACAGGCUUGAGGCAGGAAGUUGGCUUCUAGGUUAAUCAUCAACACUGGUCAGGCGGUCAGGCAAUCUGCCUUGUCCCAUUCCCCAGCCAGAAUCUUUCCUGUAACCCUGAAUCAGUCUGAAGAGCCAGCCAGAUCGACUUGUCUCAGACACUUGACUGCCGAGUGCUGAGAUUACAGGCACGUGUAGGCUGCUGCCUUCUGGGGACCGCCUUCAAUGGGGACCGCCUUCAAUGGGGACCACCUUCAAUGGGGACCACCUUCAAAGCUUGACUGAACCCAGUGCUUGCUGCACACUGCUUCGCACUCUGCCACAUGAGCUGCACGCAGCCCUAGUAACCUGAUUUUAGAACUUCUCAUCAACCCCAGAAGAAACUCGGUACCACCUAUUAGUGUUCUCGUCUCUGUCUCUCCACCACCCUUAGACCUAAGCAAACAGCGAGCUGUGCUUUGUCUUUAUAAAUUUGUUGAUUCCUGGCAUUUUAUAUAAACAGAGGUAUAAUAUAUAUAACUUUACCGUUGCCUAUUUUCAA